GUGUGUGUGUGUGUGUGUGUGUGUGUGUGUGUGUGUGUGUGUGUGUGUGUGUGUGUGUGUGGUGUUUGCGUGCUCUGUACAAAUUGAGGACUUUUGUUCUUUUCCAGUGUAGAGUCACGCGAAAGUGUGUGUGUGUCUCAGGACAGAGCUCCUGCCACACCCAGUAGGCGAGGCUGCUGACUGUAACUGAAAUCCAGGGUGUGGACGCAGACGGUCGGUGAUGGACCUGGAGCCCGUGGACCCAGACUCUCCGGACGUCAAGAGGAGGCGGAUCCACAUGUGUGAUUAUGAAGGCUGCCAAAAAGUUUACACCAAGAGCUCCCACCUCAAAGCCCACCGGAGGAUACACACAGGAGAGAAACCCUACCA